rnacentral:rRNA from 1 species
CUCAGGGAGGUAGUGACAAGAAAUAACAACACUGGAAAUUUGAUUUCUAGUGAUUGGAAUGAUGGGAAUCCAAACCCCUUUCAGAGUAACAAUUGGAGGGCAAGUCUGGUGCCAGCAGCCGCGGUAAUUCCAGCUCCGAUAGCGUAUAUUAAAGUUGUUGCAGUUAAAAAGCUCGUAGUUGGAUGUCUGUUGGAAGCAAUCAUCAGUCCGCCCUAUUUGAUUAGGGUGUGAAUAUGAUGAAUUCCGGCAUAAUUGUCUCCCUAUUGUUAAUAUUCUGAUUGUUAGAUUCAUUUCUAACAAUAAUACGAUUAUUAAUAAUAAGGGGGAAAUGUUACUUUGAGAAAAUUAGAGUGUUUGAAGCAGGCUUUUGUUGCCUUGAAUACUGCAGCAUGGAAUAACAAUAUAGGAUUUCGGUUCUAUUUUGUUGGUUCUUUUUUUAGGACUGAAAUAAUGAUUAAUAGGGACAGUUGGGGGCAUUCGUAUUUAACUGUCAGAGGUGAAAUUCUUAGAUUUGUUAAAGACGAACUACUGCGAAAGCAUUUGCCAAAGAUGUUUUCAUUAAUCAAGAACGAAAGUUAGGGGCUCGAAGACGAUCAGAUACCGUCGUAGUCUUAACCAUAAACUAUGCCGACUAGAGAUAGGAAAUUGUCAUUUUACUUGACUU